UACGUAGGCAGCGAGCGUUGUUUGGAAUUACUGGGCGUAAAGCGUGCGUAGGCGGUGCCUCAAGUUUGGUGUGAAAUCUCCCGGCUCAACCGGGAGGGUGCGCCGAAAACUGAGGUGCUCGAGUGUGGGAGAGGUAAGCGGAAUUCCUGGUGUAGCGGUGAAAUGCGUAGAUAUCAGGAGGAACACCGGCGGUGUAGACGGCUUACUGGACCAUAACUGACGCUGAGGCACGAAAGUGUGGGGAGCAAACAGG
rnacentral:rRNA from 1 species